UGGCAAGUUUACUGAAAAUGUGUGUACAGCACAAGGGUAAAAUAAUAUUGGACCGAUUUUCCUUCUUCCUUGUCACUGGUAACUGGAAAUUGCAUGGAACAGCUGGCGUGGCAGUUAAACAUGUUCCUGUGUUGGGCACGUCUGCCACAACAUUUUCUUGCAGGUUAUUACAAGAAUUCACAACUUUUACUUCAAAGAAGUUAUAGCAUUGACAAUUUUGUACCGAUAACUUAUUACCUAUUGUGAGCACUAAACACCCAGUAAACAGUCCACUCACAGUCUCUACCACCCAGUCUACAGUCAUCAACCUUCCUGCAGUUUCUUAAACUGGCAGUGACUCCACUUACAAACAAUGCGUCGGAUGCUGCACACACAGUACAGAGGUCCUCAACUACAACUUGGGGUCUACUUGUGUUGCGUCUUGCUCUUGCUGACAACGUAUUUUUGGGAAGCUAUUCAGUGGAGGAUGACAACGAAAAUGGUGAAGGAGGGUUAAGAACACUAUUAACGAGGUCUACCUAACGGACCUGACA